CUGGCGGCGUGCUAAUACAUGCAAGUCGAACGGUAACCCUUGGAUUCGUCUGAGGGGGAGAGUGGCGAACUGGUGAGUAACACGUAGGUGACCUGCCUCGAAGACGGGGAUAACCAUCGGAAACGGUGGCUAAUACCCGAUACAUUCGGCAAUUCAGUUUGUCGAGUAAAGCUCCGGCGCUUCGAGAUGGACCUGCGGCCUAUCAGCUAGUUGGUAGGGUAAUGGCCUACCAAGGCGAAGACGGGUAGGGGGCGUGAGAGCGUGGUCCCCCACACUGGCACUGAGAUACGGGCCAGACUCCUGCGGGAGGCAGCAGUCGGGGAUAUUGCACAAUCAGCGAAAGCUGGAUGCAGCGACGCCGCGUGGGCGAUGAAGGCCUUCGGGUUGUAAAGCCCUUUUAUGGGGGAAGAGAAAAAGGACGGUACCCCAAGAAUAAGUCCCGGCUAACUACGUGCCAGCAGCCGCGGUAAAACGUAGGGGACAAGCGUUAUCCGGAUUUACUGGGCGUAAAGAGCGUUGAGGCGGUUCCGUAAGUUGGGCGUUAGAGCCCCGGGCUCAACUCGGGGAGGUCGUUCAAUACUGCGGAACUUGAGGGCAGCAGAGGGAGGCGGAAUUCCCGGUGUAGCGGUGAAAUGCGUAGAUCUCGGGAGGAACACCAGUGGCGAAGGCGGCCUCCUGGGCUGCUCCUGACGCUG
rnacentral:rRNA from 1 species